GCCAAAACGGUGGCGCGCGCCUGUAGUCCCAGCUACUCGGGAGGCUGAGGCUGGAGGAUCGCUUGAGUCCAGGCGUUCUGGGCUGUAGUGCGCUAUGCCGAUCCGGUGUCCACACUAAGUUCGGCAUCAAUAUGGUGACCUCCCAGGAGCGGAGGACCACCAGGUUGCCUAAGGAGGGGUAAACGGGGCCAGGUCGGAAACGGAGCAGGUCAAAACUCCCUUGCUGAUCAGUUGUAGGAUCGGGCCUGUGAAUAGCCACUGCACUCCAGCCUGGGUAACAUAGCGAGACCCCGUCUCU
rnacentral:SRP_RNA from 1 species